rnacentral:rRNA from 1 species
CCAUGCACCGAAGCUGCGGCAGCGAACGUAUUACUUAAAGCGAUUCAGCGGGUUACGAUUGACGGAGCGAAGCGACGUCAAAGCGUAUACAAAGUCGAGUCGGUUUAAGGAUACGUUCGUUGGGUAGGGGAGCGUUCUGUAAGCCUGCGAAGGUGGCCUGUGAGGGUUGCUGGAGGUAUCAGAAGUGCGAAUGCUGACAUAAGUAACGAUAAAGCGGGUGAAAAGCCCGCUCGCCGGAAGACCAAGGGUUCCUGUCCAACGUUAAUCGGGGCAGGGUGAGUCGACCCCUAAGGCGAGGCCGAAAGGCGUAGUCGAUGGGAAACGGGUUAAUAUUCCCGUACUUGGUGUUACUGCGAAGGGGGGACGGAGAAGGCUAUGUUGGCCGGGCGACGGUUGUCCCGGUUUAAGCGUGUAGGCUGGUUUUCCAGGCAAAUCCGGAAAAUCAAGGCUGAGGCGUGAUGACGAGGCACUACGGUGCUGAAGCAACAAAUGCCCUGCUUCCAGGAAAAGCCUCUAAGCAUCAGGUAACAUCAAAUCGUACCCCAAACCGACACAGGUGGUCAGGUAGAGAAUACCAAGGCGCUUGAGAGAACUCGGGUGAAGGAACUAGGCAAAAUGGUGCCGUAACUUCGGGAGAAGGCACGCUGACACGUAGGUGAAGUGAUUUACUCAUGGAGCUGAAGUCAGUCGAAGAUACCAGCUGGCUGCAACUGUUUAUUAAAAACACAGCACUGUGCAAACACGAAAGUGGACGUAUACGGUGUGACGCCUGCCCGGUGCCGGAAGGUUAAUUGAUGGGGUCAGCGCAAGCGAAGCUCCUGAUCGAAGCCCCGGUAAACGGCGGCCGUAACUAUAACGGUCCUAAGGUAGCGAAAUUCCUUGUCGGGUAAGUUCCGACCUGCACGAAUGGCGUAAUGAUGGCCAGGCUGUCUCCACCCGAGACUCAGUGAAAUUGAACUCGCUGUGAAGAUGCAGUGUACCCGCGGCAAGACGGAAAGACCCCGUGAACCUUUACUAUAGCUUGACACUGAACAUUGAGCCUUGAUGUGUAGGAUAGGUGGGAGGCUUUGAAGCGUGGACGCCAGUCUGCGUGGAGCCGACCUUGAAAUACCACCCUUUAAUGUUUGAUGUUCUAACGUGGACCCGUAAUCCGGGUUGCGGACAGUGUCUGGUGGGUAGUUUGACUGGGGCGGUCUCCUCCUAAAGAGUAACGGAGGAGCACGAAGGUUGGCUAAUCCUGGUCGGACAUCAGGAGGUUAGUGCAAUGGCAUAAGCCAGCUUGACUGCGAGCGUGACGGCGCGAGCAGGUGCGAAAGCAGGUCAUAGUGAUCCGGUGGUUCUGAAUGGAAGGGCCAUCGCUCAACGGAUAAAAGGUACUCCGGGGAUAACAGGCUGAUACCGCCCAAGAGUUCAUAUCGACGGCGGUGUUUGGCACCUCGAUGUCGGCUCAUCACAUCCUGGGGCUGAAGUAGGUCCCAAGGGUAUGGCUGUUCGCCAUUUAAAGUGGUACGCGAGCUGGGUUUAGAACGUCGUGAGACAGUUCGGUCCCUAUCUGCCGUGGGCGCUGGAGAACUGAGGGGGGCUGCUCCUAGUACGAGAGGACCGGAGUGGACGCAUCACUGGUGUUCGGGUUGUCAUGCCAAUGGCACUGCCCGGUAGCUAAAUGCGGAAGAGAUAAGUGCUGAAAGCAUCUAAGCACGAAACUUGCCCCGAGAUGAGUUCUCCCUGAGACUUUAAGUCUCCUGAAGGAACGUUGAAGACGACGACGUUGAUAGGCCGGGUGUGUAAGCGCAGCGAUGCGUUGAGCUAACCGGUACUAAUGAACCGUGAGGCUUAACC